rnacentral:rRNA from 1 species
UGGGGAAUUUUGCACAAUGGGGGAAACCCUGAUGCAGCGACGCCGCGUGAUUUAGAAGGCCUUCGGGUUGUAAAAAUCUUUUCUAUGGGAAGAAAAUGACAGUACCAUAGGAAUAAGGACCGGCUAAUUACGUGCCAGCAGCCGCGGUAAUACGUAAGGUCCGAGCGUUGUCCGGAAUCAUUGGGCGUAAAGGGUACGUAGGCGGGUAAGCAAGUUAGAAGUGAAAUCCUAUAGCUCAACUAUAGUAAGCUUUUAAAACUGCUGAUCUUGAGGUAUGGAAGGGAAAGUGGAAUUCCUAGUGUAGCGGUGAAAUGCGCAGAUAUUAGGAGGGAUACCGGUGGCGAAGGCGAGUUUCUGGCCAUAACCUGACGCUGAGGUACGAAAGCGUGGGUAGCAAACAGG